UGCAACGAUGAGCGAGCCUGACCGACAGAAGGUGAUCGAAAAGUACCUCCAAGGGUUACAUCAUCAUGAAGACGGCUACUCCCAUGGCUACCUGAAGUCAGACGAUGAGCUUAAGCUUUUUGAGAGGUCCUUGGCUGCCGUCAACGAGAGGUAUGCUGUGCGGACAUCAGGAGACCUGAACAAGCCGUCUAAAUAUAAUGUCGUUUUCUCCAUGAUCCACUCCGGGUGCAGAAUCUCUCUAGACAAUGUACCGUUUGUGGUUGUCAAAGAAACCGUCAAAGUCUGCAUAUUUGGAACGGAAUACUACAAAAAGGUUCGAGAGAAAAACAAAGACCAGGGUUCAAGCACCGCUGACUGGCCGAAGGAGGUGUACGAGAUGAAGCGAGUGAACCUCCAAGGCACAAAGAAGAAAGGGUGUGCAGCAACAAUGAAUUUGAACUGCAUUGAAUUGUACCCAGAUUUACAGGUACGUAAUGUGCAACCACAAGUAAAAAAUGUUUGCAGGUUAUUUUCUGGGCACCUUUAUCAUGGCAUUUGUGUCUGCAAGCAGACACGAAACAAGCAGUUUUAAAACAUUACUACAUUGUCC